GAUGAACGCUAGCGAUAGGCCUUACACAUGCAAGUCGAGGGGCAGCACAAAGAAAGUAGCAAUACCUUUUUGGUGGCGACCGGCGCACGGGUGAGUAACGCGUAUGCAACCUACCUACUACUUUGGGAUAGCUCGUUGAAAGACGAAUUAAUACCUUAUAAAACAGGGGCUCCGCAUGGAGAUAUUUGUUAAAGCCCCGAUGCAAAUCGGUGUGGUAGUAGAUGGGCAUGCGUUCCAUUAGUUAGUUGGCGAGGUAACGGCUCACCAAGACAACGAUGGAUAGGGGAACUGAGAGGUUUUACCCCCACACUGGAACUGAGACACGGUCCAGACUCCUACGGGAGGCAGCAGUGAGGAAUCUUGGUCAAUGGAGGCAACUCUGAACCAGCCAAGUCGCGUGAAGGAUGACGGCCCUACGGGUUGUAAACUUCUUUUUAAGGGAAUAAAGUGAGCCACGAGCUGGCUUUUUGCAUGUACCUUACGAAUAAGGAUCGGCUAACUCCGUGCCAGC
rnacentral:rRNA from 1 species